UACGUAGGGCGCAAGCGUUGUCCGGAUUCAUUGGGCGUAAAGAGCUCGUAGGCGGUUCGAUAAGUCGGGUGUGAAACCUCCAGGCUCAACCUGGAGACGCCACCCGAUACUGUCGUGACUAGAGUCCAGUAGGGGAGCGUGGAAUUCCUGGUGUAGCGGUGAAAUGCGCAGAUAUCAGGAGGAACACCAGCGGCGAAGGCGGCGCUCUGGGCUGGAACUGACGCUGAGGAGCGAAAGCGUGGGGAGCGAACAGG
rnacentral:rRNA from 1 species